rnacentral:misc_RNA from 1 species
AGUCCGUCGGUCUACCAGGAUUUGUUUCGUUUUGUCUCUUUUGAAUGAGGGUGUGCCCUAUUUUUGUUAUAUGUAAAAGCAUGCGCCGUGAAUGAAUCCAAGCGUGGAGUAUGUCGUUGACCUGAAGCCUUGUGCUCCGUGUUGUAUUUGCUUCAGCCCUCGUCAUCUUCAUUAUUAUUAACUCAAAUCGACCUUGGUCGAGCAGAUAUAUAAUCAACGACAUUCAAACCAUGGCCAUCCCGUCUUUUUAGGGACAUCAUCUCAUGUGUCCGUUGCUCUUUGAUUUCCCAACACGUUAGGGUAUGGUUUAAGAGAUAUUUAACUGCUAUUUCUAGCAGGUAGAACGAUCCCUUUGACUCUUUCAAGGCCUAUACUGUCAUUUUUGUAAUAUCUAUCUUUGUAGCUCAUCCUUCAGUUCCUAUAUUUAUCUCUCUUUCUCCUUGUCUCUCUCAUUAUUUCUUUCUUACUCCUAAUCUCUCUCGCUCUUUCCCACUUUCUCACCUUCUUGUGUCCAUCGACGUCUCCGUCUCCUAUUGUUUAUAUGUCUAUUCAUUUCUCUCCUUUCUGUUUCCUGUAUGUAAUUAAUAACCGUGACACUCCGGACCGGCAUGUACAUUAACUCGGAGAAAUUACCGCAUGAAAUAACAAAAAUAACAAACCCGAACUCGACAUAAAACAGCCAAGGACGAAAAUCUCGACUAAUACAAAGAAAAUGUGAAUGAAAAGAAAAGAGAUUGUUAGUAAACUAAACCUCCCAUCGGUCUCGAAAUACACAAAACAGCUCCCACUAUUCAUAUUUUACACAAAGAAGUUACAUAAAAAAGAUUUAAAGAUCGUAUAUAAGGUGAUCAGUCUAGAAUGUUAGUACAAUUGCGGAGAUUUCGUUCAUUGAGAAUGUUGAAGUCUUUUUUACUUCAGUCGCGUGUCGGCCAAUGUCUUGUAAUUUUUGGAUUUGCAUUUUUGUUGUACCUGUACUGGGCCUCUAAGUUCAAGUCACUUGAUAACAGAAAAAUCCAAGGAGAAGCAUUAUCUGCUCCACCGGCUCAAUCUUUGACUUUUGAAAAGCAGCAGUUCUAUUUGAAAGGAAAGAAGAUCCGCAUUUUAGCUGGAUCAGUCCAUUACUUCAGGAUUGUUCCACAAUAUUGGAUGCCUGUUUUGAAGAAACUAAAAGCAUGUGGCCUGAAUACAGUAGUUACCUAUGUCCCUUGGAAUCUGCACGAACCUUCUCCAAACCACUAUGUGUUUUACGGAAUGUUAGACUUAAUGAAAUUCCUUAUAUUUGCUCACAGUUUAGAUUUGUAUGUCAUUCUGAGACCAGGACCCUAUAUCUGCUCUGAAUGGGAUUUUGGAGGACUCCCCAGCUGGCUCCUACGUACCCAUGCAUCUCUCCGUUCUAAUUCAGCACCUUACAUGUUUGCAGUUGAGAGAUAUUUUGCUAAUCUGCUGCCACAAGUUGUUGAUUUUCAGUAUUUCUAUGGCGGACCCAUCAUAGCUUUCCAACUAGAGAAUGAAUUUGGUUCCUUCAGUAAUGAGGUGCAACACCUGGAAAACCUACGAGAGCUUUUUAUCAAGAAUGGUGUCCAUGAAUUAUUGCUAAUCUCAGAUGGAUUGUCAGGAAUCAUAAGAGCUACCAUUCCUGGCGUUCUAUUGACUGCAAACUUUGGUGGCCACCAGAGAGGCAAAGAUAUAUUCAAAGUCAUUACAGACAUAAACCCGGAAAACCCGUUAAUGGUCAUGGAAUUUUGGUCUGGUUGGUUUGACCACUGGGGCAACAAGUAUCGAGAAUCAAAACCUUUGGAAACAUUCAAGAAGACCUUCCAGUUUAUUCUAAAUCAGAAUGCAUCAUUCAACUUCUAUAUGUUUAUGGGUGGAACAAAUUUUGGAUUCAUGGCUGGAGCGAACGGUCAGAAAGAGAAAUAUGCACCAGAUGUCACUAGUUAUGAUUAUGAUGCGUUGCUGUCUGAAUCCGGGGACAUUACAGAGAAAUACCUGACUGCACAGAGAAUGAUAUACGAGCAGGUACUUAAACCUGAAGGAAUUAGCCAUCCUCCUCAAAUAUUAAGCGACAAUCCAAAGGCAAAAUAUGGUGCGUUGACUGUUUCAAGCUACCUGUCUUUCAAAGAUAUGCUAGAUAUUGUCUCUGAACUACAACUGUCUUCAUUCGAAACCAAGAUGGAAUUCAUGGAAUUGUUGAACAUGAACUUCAAUGCAGGACAGAGUUAUGGCUACAUUCUGUAUGAAAAAUCAUUGCCGAAAGUGAAGACCUUAAAGAUUGGUGGAUCAGUUGCUGAUCGAGCACAUAUCUUACUGAACCAUCAAGUGAUGUUUACAGUCAACUGGACUGUAUCCAACCCUCAGUUUUCCCUCCCUGAUAAUGAUGGAAUCAAACUGGGUAUAUUGGUGGAAAACCUAGGUCGAGUCAACUAUUUGAUGUUUGAUGAUAAACAUUCUUUCUCAAAUCAGUUUAAAGGUUUAGAUGGUGAAGUGUAUUUAGAUGGAAAACUUGAAGAAUAUUGGAAUAUCUACCCAUUGGACUUUUCCAGCGAAUUUCUUGACAAAGUGGCAGAAUCGGACAACUGGAAGGAUGUAAUUCCUGAGGUACACUCACCAGCGAUGUACAAAAUCACUUUCACCCUAUCUUCUCAUCCUGCAGAUACAUUCCUCAACCUUGAUGGUUGGGUGAAAGGAAUUGUUAUAGUGAAUGGCUUUAAUCUUGGCCGCUACUGGAACAUUGGACCACAGAAGACUUUGUAUCUACCAGCACCACUUUUAGAGAUUGGCCUCAAUGUUAUUUAUAUAUUUGAAGAAGAACAAGGAGAGAAAUAUAUAAUGUCAGUCGAUCAACCAGAUUUGGGAAAAAUUUCAUCUGGAGACAAGAAUUAAAUUAAUUUGUUUGGCGAACAAUGUUUCCAGAGUGACAAUGAUUUCCGUAUAUUUUUAUCUUCCUUAUGCUUUUAUGCAGAGAGAGAGAAAGAGAGAGAGAUCUUCUUUUAUAAAAUAAUUAUUUAUUUUUGAAA